rnacentral:rRNA from 1 species
UACGUAGGGUGCAGGCGUUAAUCGGAAUUACUGGGCGUAAAGCGUGCGUAGGCGGUUUGUUAAGACAGGUGUGAAAUCCCCGGGCUUAACCUGGGAACUGCGCUUGUUACUGGCAGACUGGAGUGUGGCAGAGGGGGGUGGAAUUCCAGGUGUAGCAGCGAAAUGCGUAGAUAUCUGGAGGAACACCGAUGGCGAAGGCAAUCCCCUGGGCCUGCACUGACGCUCAUGCACGAAAGCGUGGGGAGCAAACAGG